GUUUUUAUAGUGUAUGAAGCACAUAAGAUUUUCAAUCUUUUAGAGCAUUGCUAUAGGAUAAUGCUAAAAAUA
rnacentral:tRNA from 1 species